rnacentral:rRNA from 1 species
UACGAAGGGGGCUAGCGUUGCUCGGAAUGACUGGGCGUAAAGGGCGCGUAGGCGGCUUGUAUAGUCGGAUGUGAAAUUCCUGGGCUUAACCGGGGAACUGCGUCUGAUACUGGAUGGCUUGAGUUUGGGAGAGGGAUGCGGAAUUCCAGGUGUAGCGGUGAAAUGCGUAGAUAUCUGGAGGAACACCUGCGGUGUAGACGGCUUACUGGACCAUAACUGACGCUGAGGCACGAAAGCGUGGGUAGCAAACAGG